CCGCCGUGGGCCGAGCAAUGGCGCUG
rnacentral:piRNA from 1 species